AACGAACGCUGGCGGCAGGCUUAACACAUGCAAGUCGAGCGCCCCGCAAGGGGAGCGGCAGCCGGGUGAGUAACGCGUGGGAACGUACCUUUUGGUUCGGAACAACUCCGGGAAACUGGAGCUAAUACCGGAUAAGCCCUAACGGGGAAAGAUUUAUCGCCGAAAGAUCGGCCCGCGUCUGAUUAGCUAGUUGGUGAGGUAACGGCUCACCAAGGCGACGAUCAGUAGCUGGUCUGAGAGGAUGAUCAGCCACACUGGGACUGAGACACGGCCCAGACUCCUACGGGAGGCAGCAGUGGGGAAUAUUGGACAAUGGGCGCAAGCCUGAUCCAGCCAUGCCGCGUGAGUGAUGAAGGCCUUAGGGUUGUAAAGCUCUUUUGUCCGGGAAGAUAAUGACUGUACCGGAAGAAUAAGCCCCGGCUAACUUCGUGC
rnacentral:rRNA from 1 species